GGGGCUGCUGGUGGCGGCAUUCGAUUGCCAUUCGCACAAGUUGCAUGUUCGCGACUCGAUUUUUGGGCAAAAGCAACCUUUACAACACCAGUGAAGAAUUCUAAUUAAGUGUGGGCGCGCUAAUGCGUUAAACGCUUCUGCAAUUUGUUUUUCCAAGCCGCAGAGAAGUGGAAAGAAGAAAAAGGAAGAAAAAUAACAUUUAUAAUUACACUUAAUCAGGUUGAUUACUGUCAACGCGGCAAACAGGGAGGGGGGAUAAAACCAAAGACCCACCGCAGCGUUCGAUGACCACACAAAUGAGUGCCAGAUCGAACUGAGGAGGAAAAAAGGAUAAGACACGCUCCUCCAAUUACCUGUCACUGACCCACUUGUUCAGUCCAGUCAGAGGCAACAGAGAGAGAGAGAGAGAGAGAGAGGUAACCUCUAGAAAAGGACAAGAAGCUUCAAUAUCAACGACAUCGACAAGCCAAAGAGGAACCUUCACCAUGGGCAAGAAGAACUCAAAAUUGAAGCAGGACACCAUCGAUCGGCUGACAACGGACACAUACUUCACUGAAAAGGAAAUUCGUCAAUGGCACAAGGGCUUUCUCAAAGACUGUCCGAAUGGCUUGCUGACCGAACAAGGCUUCAUCAAAAUCUAUAAGCAAUUCUUCCCCGACGGUGACCCCAGCAAAUUUGCCUCUCUGGUCUUUCGUGUCUUCGAUGAGAAUAAUGAUGGCGCCAUUGAGUUUGAGGAGUUUAUACGGGCUUUGUCCAUAACAUCAAGAGGGAAUCUGGAUGAGAAGCUGCACUGGGCCUUCCGUCUUUAUGAUGUGGACAACGAUGGCUAUAUAACCCGCGAGGAGAUGUACAACAUAGUGGAUGCCAUCUACCAAAUGGUAGGCCAACAGCCGCAAACAGAGGAUGAGAAUACGCCCCAGAAGCGGGUGGAUAAGAUCUUUGAUCAGAUGGACAAGAAUCAUGAUGAUCGGCUGACGUUGGAGGAGUUCCGUGAGGGCAGUAAAGCUGAUCCACGUAUAGUGCAGGCGUUAAGUUUAGGUGGUGAUUAACCGCGGGACCUGUAGUCGAUGCGGUGAUGAAGGAGAAGGAGAAGAAAAAGGAAAAGGAGUAGGAGAAGAAGUAGGAGUAGAAAGAGUUUUCCUUGUUCUUCUGAGAUCACCAUGCUAAAAUAAUUUCUAUAUUUUAUAUGUGGUUCAGCUUUAGAAUGUAAAAAAGUUGAUAUUGUAAAAGAAAAGAGAAAGGGAAAUACUUUCUUUAUUAUAACUAUCCAUGUCCUAUGGCUAUCUUAUCCUUUAUUAAGCAUUAAUCUUUGAAAAUACUUUUUUUUUGGUUAGAUCUAUCCAUAGCGUUUAUCCCAUAACUUUAUCCCAUCACUCUUUAUUAAGCAUUAAGCCUUAAAAGUACUUUCUUUUCUAUAACUAUCCAUAGCCUAUAUCCUAUAACUAUCCUAUCCUCAUUACCCUUUAUUAAGCAUUAAGCCUUGAAUAUACUUUCUUUUCUAUAUUUAUCCAUAAGCUAUAUCUAACCUAUCCCCAUCACCCUUCAUUAGGCAUUAAUCCUUGAAAAUACUUUCUUUCGUAUAUCUAUCCAUAACCUUUAUCCUAUAACUAUCCCAUCCCCAUCACCCUUCAUUAACCAUUAAUCCUUGAUAACCCUUUAAUGUUGUCUUGCUUUCUGCUUUUAGAUAAAUCUAGAUUUGAGAAAUUUAAGAAAUUGAAAUUGAAAUUGAAAUUGAAAUUGAAAUUGAGAUUGAGAUUGAAAUUGAAGUUGAAAUUGAAAGUGAAAUGGAAAUUGAAAUUGAAAUUGAAAUUGAAAUUGAAAUUGAAAUGGAAAUGGAAAUUGAAAUUGAAAUUGCAAAAUAUCUUUACAAAAGCUAAUCACAAAGACUUUUUGCUUUGUCGCCGCCUGAGAGGUUUCAGAUUGGAUUCAGCUUUUUAGAUAAUGCUUGUCUAGACCACUCUGGCACAAACCCCCCUCCCCCUACACAACCACCCUCCAACCACCCACAAAAUACUCUAAUAUAUCCCUUUAACCAAAUCCGAUUCCAAGGUUUCCUGUUCCUUGUUCUUUUCUUCUGUCCCAGCACUAUAGUUCGUAUUUAAAAGGGAAUAUAUAUAAUAUAUAUACCUAGAUAAAGGCCAAAUAAAUUGAUAUAGGGAGAAUAUAUAUAUACACAGAUAUUGAUAAUUAUAUAUAUAUAUCUAUUAUUAUAUAGAAGUCCCGAUUUGUAUUUUACUUGUGCAAAUUUUGCAAAUUGUUUUUGCAUAGAUUUAUUGUUGGAAAGUUUCCACGGCAACAACAACGACGACACUCACUCACAUACACUUUACACUGCACAAAAAACUUGCAUGCCUUUUCUGUCAAAACCGAAAAAAACUUAAAACUCUAAACUCAAGCUAAGCUGAGUGGAUAUCGGAUAUAUAUAUAUAUCUAUAAUAUAUAGAUGGAAACUAUGAAUAUACCUAUACAUAUAUGCAACAGAUACAAAUCAACAGGUCGAUGGAGGAAAAAACCAAAACUCUGCAGCAACAAUCAAUUUUUGCGCUUCUUACACUGAAACUUGAAAUUAUAUAAAAAAUAUAAUAAAAAAUACAUACAUAUAUAUAUAUUAAACAUAUGUAUAUAUAUAUCUAUAUAUAUACUGUACAUAAAACUGGCAAAAAGUUUGGAAAAAUAUCUUAAAGGAAAACCAAGAAAAACCAAGAAAAAACCAACCAUUUUUAGGCUCUAAGAAAGAUCACCAUAAUCAAGGCCAGCUAAACUGAAGCUUAAAGAUAAACUAAAGGAAAACUCAUUGCACUAUUUUCUUUUUUUUUUUUGCUGGGUUAUCUUUCCAGUUAAAUGAUAAACCCUCCUAACUGAAAGAAAAGAAAAACCUUAAUUUGUGUGCAUUAUACUGAAGAUAAGCAAUACUUAGUUUAGCAUUCGAGAAUGCAUUAAGCAAUGUUUAUUAAAAAAUCUAAAAAAGGAAACUAAGAGAAAAACCCCAAAGUGGAAAAUCAUUCUUAACAAAAACACACAUUCUACAAACACACACAUACAUACAUACACACUGAGAAGAAAAAACAACACACACAUAACUAACAAGUUUUUGGAAUUAUUGCGAAAAGAUAAAGAAAAAACUGAAAAGCAAAA